ensembl:rRNA 5S_rRNA 5S ribosomal RNA
AUCUAUGGCCAUACCACCCUGACUGUGCCCGAUUUCGUCUGAUCUCAGAAGCUAAGCAGGAUCAGGUCUGGUUAGUACUUGGAUGCGAGAAUUUGUGAAGUUAGGAAAAGCACGGUGCUGGUUU